rnacentral:rRNA from 1 species
AGAGUUUGAUCCUGGCUCAGAUUGAACGCUGGCGGAAUGCUUUACACAUGCAAGUCGAACGGCAGCACGGGAGCUUGCUCCUGGUGGCGAGUGGCGAACGGGUGAGUAAUGCGUCGGAACGUACCGAGUAAUGGGGGAUAACGCAGCGAAAGCUGUGCUAAUACCGCAUACGCCCUGAGGGGGAAAGUGGGGGAUCGCAAGACCUCACGUUAUUCGAGCGGCCGACGUCUGAUUAGCUAGUUGGUGGGGUAAUGGCCUACCAAGGCGACGAUCAGUAGCGGGUCUGAGAGGAUGAUCCGCCACACUGGAACUGAGACACGGUCCAGACUCCUACGGGAGGCAGCAGUGGGGAAUUUUGGACAAUGGGGGCAACCCUGAUCCAGCCAUUCCGCGUGAGUGAAGAAGGCCUUCGGGUUGUAAAGCUCUUUCAGCUGGAACGAAACGGUACGCUCUAACAUAGCGUGCUAAUGACGGUACCGGCAGAAGAAGCACCGGCUAACUACGUGCCAGCAGCCGCGGUAAUACGUAGGGUGCGAGCGUUAAUCGGAAUUACUGGGCGUAAAGCGUGCGCAGGCGGAUUGUUAAGCAAGAUGUGAAAUCCCCGGGCUUAACCUGGGAAUGGCAUUUUGAACUGGCAGUCUAGAGUGCGUCAGAGGGGGGUGGAAUUCCACGUGUAG